ACACCAGCGCCACAAGUGGCAACCGCUUUUAUUUGGCCUAAAGCGUCCGUAGCCGGUUUAGUAAAUUUCCUGUGAAAUCGUUGCGCUUAACGUAACGGCAUGCAGGAAAGACUGCUGAACUAGGGACCGGGAGGCGUCAGAGGUAUUCCUGAGGGAGCGGUAAAAUGCUAUAAUCUUAGGAAGACCCCCUGUGGCGAAGGCGUCUGACGAGAACGGAUCCAACGGUGAGGGACGAAAGCUAGGGGAGCAAACCGGAUUAGAAACCCGAGUAGUCC
rnacentral:rRNA from 1 species